GUCUAUGUAGAUUAUUUUAAAUCAUGAUGCUGUUAACUUCAAAAAAAGCAAUGCUUCAUAGUCG
rnacentral:tRNA from 1 species